CGGACGGGUGAGUAACACGUGGACAAUCUGCCCCCCGGCCCGGGAUAGCCCAGGGAAACCUGGAUUAAUACCGGAUGAGACGGGACCCGCGAUGGCGGGAUCCGGGAAAGGCGCUGCGGCGCCGCCGGGGGAUGAGUCUGCGUCCCAUUAGCUAGACGGCGGGGUAACGGCCCACCGUGGCGACGAUGGGUAGCCGGCCUGAGAGGGUGGACGGCCACAUUGGAACUGAGACACGGUCCAGACUCCUACGGGAGGCAGCAGCUAAGAAUCUUCCGCAAUGGGCGAAAGCCUGACGGAGCGACGCCGCCGUGAACGAAGAAGGCCGUGAGGUUGUAAAGUUCUUUUCGGGAGGGGGAACAACCGUGGCAGGGAAUGGCCGCGGGAUGAACGUGAAUCCCCGGAAUAAAGCCCCGGCUAACUACGUGCCAGCAGCAGC
rnacentral:rRNA from 1 species